UGUAAAGCUGUACGAUUUGCAGAAUGACAUCUAGUAACCUGUUGACAUAAAGAGUUGAUUUCUUUAUCGUUCAUCAGAUCAUCAAAUGCACAAUCCAAAACAAUUCGGAUACUACUAGGAACGACCUUUCCUAGUCUGAUCCUCUUCUUUUGACUUUUAACUACUUCGCCAGCUUCAAUUUUUCGCUUUCUUUCCUCUUUUCGUAAUCGCUUUUUUUCCCGGCGCAUCUCUGCUCGCUUUUCACGACCUGCAUCCCACUCUUGCUGUCUUUUUAAUCUUUUUAAUGCAGAUUUGCUAAGAACGGGUUGCUCUUGAGUUUCAUUUUUAGAAA